GCCCGUGUAGCCCAAAGCAGAGGCGGCAGGCCCAAACCCUGCGCAGUGUCGGUGCGAGACCGGCCACGGGCACCA
rnacentral:tRNA from 1 species